GCUUACUGUACUCAAGAAUCACAUGUGCUAUUGUUUCCUCAACAUAACAUUGUGGGGGCGUGGUCAGCUCGAAAUUCCUUUUCAAGUCCACAUUGAAUUUUGCACCACUCAACGCGCUGUGUGUAAAUGAAAAUGCAGUCCCAAAUGUUCAACCUGUUAAUGAAAAUGCAUUAAGGGAAAAUGAUAUUAGAAUUUACUUUUUGCUACAAUUUUGCUUGACUAUCUUAAAUAUGUAUAAUCAAUCCGGGAAUGCAUUUUCAUUUUAAUUUUGCAACUUCAAGAGCUUUGAAAAUAUCCAUUUAAAUAACUUAUUAAAACUACUGUAGGAACUGACAAAUGUAAUUUAUAUAAUUGAAUUUUUAUUUUCAUUUUGCACCUAAUGUUGCACAUACGUUAUUUGAAAUAUGUAUUUAGAUACACAAUUGCAUUGUCAAUUUACAUACUGCAUUGCCAUUUUGCAUAUUACAUUACAAAUUGAAUUUUGCACCACAUAUGCUUCCAUAGAAAGAAAGGCAAACUGGUUUGGAAAGACAUGAGGGCGUCAUGUUUUGUGAGGGAAAACCCAGUCAUUGCGAUGUAAUGGCACCAUCUAGUGGACAAAGUAGAGGCCACAUGCCAAAAAGCAUUAUUGACGAGGAACAGUCUGCACAUCAGUAAUAAUAUUAGAUUGAUACUUGAUAUGGUAGACUAUAAGGAGUAUAUUUUAGAUGAUAGAAGAUUUUUUUAAAUCUGUCAAAACUUUAUACAAAGGAUGUACCCAUGGGCGUAAAUCUCAUUUAACAGUAGGGGCAAUACACAUGAAAUUUCUCAGGAGCAAUUUUUGAAGGGGACACAAAUAAUACCACACGAAGCAACAAUAUGCAUUAGGUUCAUAGGUUUAUCAUUCAGACUUGCAGUCAUAUUAUAACUGAGCUGAACAGUCACAUACUGUAAUACAAGUGAACACUAAAGCUUUUUUCCAUUUAUAUAUUUUUUGUCUCUGUUGUGAAGACAGGAAACAAUUAUAAACACACACUACCCAUGGUACUACGUGUUAACAAUGAGUCACUUUUUAAACACUUGUUAUCCUGAUUUAUACUGAAUUGAAUUGAAUUGACAAAGUCACCGUAUAUCGACUUUAAUUUGUAUCCAUCUAAAGGAAAUUGUUUUCGUUUUAGAUGUACAGAAGACGUGCUGAGAUUUAAUUGAGAAUUUUUAGCAGAUUUUCAGGCUGGAUUUAACACAAACAAACCGUCGAAAGAAUAGCCGAGAACUUCUAAUUGGCUAACACAACUAUCAAUUAAGCUUGUCAAGUAUCAUGAACUUAUUUUUUCCAGGAUUUUUGUUAUUAUAAUAUUGUUUGUACUGACAUUAAAAGCUAUAAAACAACAACACUUUAAUAAAUAAAAUAUUUGUAUAACAAUUAACCCGUCGAGUCUAUUUAUCACGGUGGGCGGAGCUACGCCGUCAGGCCAGUCCAUUGGCUACGGUUCUGAAUGACAGCACUAAGAACACAUUUCUCUGAUUGGUCGAGAGAUUUGUCGAGUAGACGGAGCCAACCUGAGAUUCGACCUCUUGUUUCGACACUUUGCUUUAGAUCCUGCAUCAAAAUACAAGACUAGAGAAUAGAGUCAAAUGUAAUUCGAAUUUAAACAGAAAUUUGUCUAAAUAUUUGAACGAUUACAUUGUUUUAAUUUGACCAGUAAGUGGCGGUAACGCACUCAUAAAACAGCGAAAUACGAAUCACGUUACACAAGGACACAUCGAGCAAACCCGCCAAAAAACCUGAGGGGGAUCAUCACAUACAUGUAAGAUUUGACAUGUCUUGUAGUUCUUCGGGUAUUUGUGUUCGUUUCCUGACUAAAAUUGUCGGGUUGAAAAUUAUGAAUUUAAAAUGUACAUUUGUGAUUUAAAAAUACAGAUUUUAUAGCACGAUUUAUAUUAUGACCAGCAUUCAGUUUACACAUGAACAAUGACAAUAACGCUAAACGUGCUAACGUUGAAGGACGUAUAUUGCAAAUACUGACAAAACGUUUUGAAUCAAUUAAUUGUUUCAUUUAGCAUCUUAAGUGUGGAAGCAUAUUGGUUGCUAUAUUUACGGUGGCCGGAAAGUGCAAAACAACAUUACGAAGUGUGAAACACUUUUACGAAGCUCGAGACAAAUUUACAUUUUGGAAAACAUUUUUACCUAUCAUAAAACACAAUUACAUGGGAAAAACACUUUUACCAAGUACGAAACAAAUUUACAUUUUAGAAAACAAAUUAAGAAGACGCAAAACACUUUCACCAGUCCGCAAACAAAUUUACAAUGACAGAUUCUUCACGGAAAGGGAAUGUACCACACACCGGAAGUGACGCGGUAAAAGGUGUUGUUUUUGGUGAGCGCGGUAAAUUCGUGUUGUGGUUGUGGAGUAAAUGGCGUAAAUAAACUUUAUGGUGACAGAACAUGGACUGCGGCCGAGGGAUGUUUUGCCCGUUUUGUGGCAAACACGUGAGCAGCUUAACGCGGUUUUGCUUUACGUGUGGUCGGUGUUUGGAGUUUCUAAAGAACGCGGACCAGACGGAAACACCAGACACACUGCAUCAAUGUGCUCAAUAUAUUAACGAGGGCCACUCGUACGCUGUAAUCGUGGACAUGAUGUCAAGUCUACACGGUGUAAACAUCAGCUUGAGGACUCUUAAAAGUAAACUGAACGAAGCCGGGUUGUACCGCAGAAAGGAUUAUUCCUCUCCAAACUCCGUGAGUAACGCCAUCAGAUUGGAACUUCGUGGACCUGGACAACUAUUUGGCUACCGCACGAUGUGGCAGGUCUCAGUUCUGGAUGGAGUUAUUUGCAGACCUUAGAGAAGCCGGAUACUUAAACGGGAAUCAUGAGCAACAGUUUGAGGGAUUUUGAAAUAAGGGAUGAUGACAUUUCUUUGUUGAUUUGUCAUUACCUUGCUGAUGUCUGUACAGGGCAGAGAGUCUGCAGAAUGGGAAAGAUUACAGCGAGACUCUUCUCCUCCUUUACACGGGCACAGAGGACUGCAAGAGAAAGGAAAAGUGUGCAUGAGUUAAGAAAAAGUUCACAACAAAAUGAAACAAAAUGUCUUUCAUCAUUUACACAUCCUUAGAACUUUCUUUCUUGAACACAAGAAAAUUGAACACAAACAGUUUUAUAUAUAUAUAUUUUUUGCACGAAGUAACAUAUACAUAACAAACUGCCGAGGCUCUGCAGUAAUUAUCACACAAGAAAAGAAUACAGUUGUAAUUUUCAGAGAAAACGGUAAAACAGCUUCUUUAUUUGUACUAUAGAAAAUAGCAUGAAGAUCAUUUUAAAUGUCCACUUCUAAUAUUGUUCAAUAAGAAAGUUUUUUAUACCAAUGGCGUGGUUCUGUAGUCCACUAGUUUGGAGAUCAUGGUUUUGUUCCCCAACUGAACAGCCUCCUUCAUUGCUGUCCACCCAUUGUAGUCAGUGGUGUCCAUGUCCACCCCUGACAGAAACCAGGCAUGAAGUAGCGCAUGAUCUCUCUUGCGUACUGUUCUGUAGAGGGACAGUUGAAACAAAACCAUUUAUGACUCAUAGAUAUGUAUGUGUUAUAGAAAAUGUGUGCAAUUUGGGGAAAAAUGCUUGUUGCUUAUAUACAUAUGUAAGUGGAAAAAAUGAAAGAAUUGACCAAAUUACUGCUUACUGGAUCAUUUCAAUGGCAAUUCUCACUUGGUGUAGUUUCAAAGUGAACCCUCUCAACCGCAGAAGCUUGAUAACUCUAAAAUGCCUACAAGACACAGCAGUCUAUACCUGAUAAAUCCGGGAGCAUGUCACAGAAGAACUAUUUUUAGUAAUUUAACUUUUUAUCUCCAUGCACCUGUUUAGGUUGCCAGUCCAUCACAGUUACAUAUAAGGUCAAUUGAGCAUCUCUAUUUGAACAUGGCAAUAAAUGAAUGAAUGGCUAGUGAAUGUCAAUUUAGCUAAAAAAACUUCUUGGGCUGGUUUCCCAGAUAGGGGUUAUUUUAAACCGGGACUAUAGGCCUUAGGUAAUUUAGGACAUUAAGGUAGUUUUUAAAAACAUGACUUGUGUGCUUUUUAAAACAAAACAACUCCACUGAUGUAUUUUAACAUAUGUCAGUGCAAUUUUAUUUUAGACAGCUCUUACAUUUUUUUUUUUAAGUCUAGACUUAAACCCUGUCCGGGCAACCGCCCCAUUGAGUUCACAGCCUGUUUAAAUUCCAAAAAGGCUUUUAUUUACCUGUUCUUAAUAUUCAAGUGUAAUGGGCAUUUUCCAGAGCUGUUCACAGAGUCAGGUGAAGCCCCUUUUCCCAGCAGGAACAUUGCCAUGUCCAAGUUGCCCAAUUCACAGGCUGUAUGGAGAGGUGUUUGUCCAUUAUAGUCUCCUGAAUUGACAUCCACCUUCAAACGAUUGUCAGAAAUGUAGAAGAAAAGGCAAAAUGUUGCCAAUUACACAUUUCAUUAUUUGCUGUGUUGGUUCAGAUAUAUUGUUAUGUAUUAUAUAUAUAUAUAUAUUAUAUAUUCUUAUGUCUUAUAUAUUCUAACUCAUCUAACAAUGAGUUAGAUUACGUGUUCUAGGAGGACAAGAAGAGCGUUGAAAUCAUUGUUCUUCACAGCAUUAGACGCAAGCGAGGGAAGGGUUCUUUCAAUCAAUAUAUGCUUCCCCUGGGAAAUAGAUGUUUUAAUCAAAUAAACGGACAACCAAAGCAUUGAUCUAACUCUCAAAAAUGAAUUCACAAACUGAACUUUAAAUGUGUAAGGCUGCGUCUAAAAACAAUACAAAUUGAAUUGUAUAGUGAAUAUAUAAAAAAUGUGAACGUAAAGCACAUCUGACACGGCUCACAACUAAACAUACCUGCUGGCUUCUGAUAUCAACCCAGUUGAGUUCCAUCACUUCCUCCAACAUGUUCAGGGGUGGUCCAUCACACAACACUCUAUUGAGGUCUAUCUUUAAAGCACCUGGUGUCUGCAUUAUAAAACUGUGAAGUGGACAGAAAAGAAGAAUACACUCAACAAACAAAAACACAAAUUUGAAUGAAAGUAAUAUUCCCUUUAAAUUCACUCUAAAAACGUUUCAAGCCCGAGUGAUGAUCGGGGGCCAGUUGUAUAGCUAAAAAGUCUCAACAACUAUUCUCACGGACUAGCAAUUAGUUAGGACUAAUCGGUCUUGUGUUUCAUAUUUCAAAGAGACCAAUCUGCUUUUUUAUGUAACUGUGAGAAUCUGGAUUUCGUCCUGUCCUCCACAAAUACUGGAUCUGUGUUUAUACCAAUAUUCAUCAUAUGUAUUCAUUCCUUUAUUUUAUUAUUCACUUCUAUUCAUAAUAUUUGCUCCUUACUGUCUUGUUGUUUAACCUCGUUGACAGUUGUAUCAUGUCUUAUGCUCUCUUAUGUUGAUAUAAGUAGCUGUUGUUCUCCAUCUCAAGGUUCCUAAUGAUGCCUAUGGACGAUUGUUGUGUUAUUGUAAUAUUAAAUAUGUAAUCAUAUCUGAUUGUUCAUGAGGAAUAGACUAAACAGAAAGUCUGGUGAUUUUCCACUGUUUUGGUGGUUUUAUAUGACACCUCCUGGUUCAAACUUAUAAAUAUUAGUCCGAAAACAAUAAACAUGGGACUCUGA